rnacentral:rRNA from 1 species
GAUGAACGCUGGCGGCGUGCCUAAUACAUGCAAGUCGAGCGAACGGACGAGAAGCUUGCUUCUCUGAUGUUAGCGGCGGACGGGUGAGUAACACGUGGAUAACCUACCUAUAAGACUGGGAUAACUUCGGGAAACCGGAGCUAAUACCGGAUAAUAUUUUGAACCGCAUGGUUCAAAAGUGAAAGACGGUCUUGCUGUCACUUAUAGAUGGAUCCGCGCUGCAUUAGCUAGUUGGUAAGGUAACGGCUUACCAAGGCAACGAUGCAUAGCCGACCUGAGAGGGUGAUCGGCCACACUGGAACUGAGACACGGUCCAGACUCCUACGGGAGGCAGCAGUAGGGAAUCUUCCGCAAUGGGCGAAAGCCUGACGGAGCAACGCCGCGUGAGUGAUGAAGGUCUUCGGAUCGUAAAACUCUGUUAUUAGGGAAGAACAUAUGUGUAAGUAACUGUGCACAUCUUGACGGUACCUAAUCAGAAAGCCACGGCUAACUACGUGCCAGCAGCCGCGGUAAUACGUAGGUGGCAAGCGUUAUCCGGAAUUAUUGGGCGUAAAGCGCGCGUAGGCGGUUUUUUAAGUCUGAUGUGAAAGCCCACGGCUCAACCGUGGAGGGUCAUUGGAAACUGGAAAACUUGAGUGCAGAAGAGGAAAGUGGAAUUCCAUGUGUAGCGGUGAAAUGCGCAGAGAUAUGGAGGAACACCAGUGGCGAAGGCGACUUUCUGGUCUGUAACUGACGCUGACGUGCGAAAGCGUGGGGAUCAAACAGGAUUAGAUACCCUGGUAGUCCACGCCGUAAACGAUGAGUGCUAAGUGUUAGGGGGUUUCCGCCCCUUAGUGCUGCAGCUAACGCAUUAAGCACUCCGCCUGGGGAGUACGACCGCAAGGUUGAAACUCAAAGGAAUUGACGGGGACCCGCACAAGCGGUGGAGCAUGUGGUUUAAUUCGAAGCAACGCGAAGAACCUUACCAAAUCUUGACAUCCUUUGACAACUCUAGAGAUAGAGCCUUCCCCUUCGGGGGGGCAAAGUGACAGGUGGUGCAUGGUUGUCGUCAGCUCGUGUCGUGAGAUGUUGGGUUAAGUCCCGCAACGAGCGCAACCCUUAAGCUUAGUUGCCAUCAUUAAGUUGGGCACUCUAAGUUGACUGCCGGUGACAAACCGGAGGAAGGUGGGGAUGACGUCAAAUCAUCAUGCCCCUUAUGAUUUGGGCUACACACGUGCUACAAUGGACAAUACAAAGGGCAGCGAAACCGCGAGGUCAAGCAAAUCCCAUAAAGUUGUCCUCAGUUCGGAUUGUAGUCUGCAACUCGACUACAUGAAGCUGGAAUCGCUAGUAAUCGUAGAUCAGCAUGCUACGGUGAAUACGUUCCCGGGUCU